rnacentral:lncRNA from 1 species
CUGACGUUGAUUACAUUAUCCGUGACAAUUUGUAGGCGAAGUGUACAAUUGAUCUUAAAACAGAAAGUGGGAAUGUUGGUGGAAGCACAAUUAUCUAUACAUGAUUCAGUUGGUUGUGGGAAGGAGACGUUCAUACGUUACACAGUUUGACAAUGGCUGAGAGGCAUUUUGUUUUUUUUUUUUUUUUUUUAUAGUUUUUUUCACUAUGCAAUAACAAAUUGAUGGACUAUGAGUUUUUUCUAAAUCCUAAAUAUAAUUCUAAAAUGAUUAUUUGCAGAAAAUUUUCUACUUUCAAUGAAGAAUUGCA